rnacentral:rRNA from 1 species
UUGGAGGGCAAGUCUGGUGCCAGCAGCCGCGGUAAUUCCAGCUCCAAUAGCGUAUAUUAAAGUUGUUGCAGUUAAAAAGCUCGUAGUUGAAUUUCGGGAUUGACACAUCGGUCGUGCCUUAAGGGGUAUGAACUGGUGUAGUCAAUUUCUCACCUUCUGGAGAACCGCGAUGCCCUUAAUUGGGUGUCACGGGGAACCAGGACCUUUACUUUGAAAAAAUUAGAGUGUUUAAAGCAGGCAUUUUGCUUGAAUACAUUAGCAUGGAAUAAUAAAAUAGGACGGCAUGAUUCUAUUUUGUUGGUUUCUAGGAUCACCGUAAUGAUUAAUAGGGAUAGUUGGGGGCAUUAGUAUUCAAUUGUCAGAGGUGAAAUUCUUGGAUUUAUUGAAGACUAACUACUGCGAAAGCAUUUGCCAAGGAUGUUUUCAUUAAUCAAGAACGAAAGUUAGGGGAUCGAAGACGAUCAGAUACCGUCGUAGUCUUAACCAUAAACUAUGCCGACUAGGAAUCAGACGAUGUUAAUUUUUUAAUGACUCGUUCGGCGCCUUACGGGAAAC